rnacentral:rRNA from 1 species
AGAGUUUGAUCCUGGCUCAGGAUGAACGCUAGCUACAGGCUUAACACAUGCAAGUCGAGGGGCAGCAUGAACUUAGCUUGCUAAGUUUGAUGGCGACCGGCGCACGGGUGAGUAACACGUAUCCAACCUUCCGUUUACUCAGGGAUAGCCUUUCGAAAGAAAGAUUAAUACCUGAUGGUAUGGUGAGAUUGCAUGAUAGCACCAUUAAAGAUUUAUUGGUAAACGAUGGGGAUGCGUUCCAUUAGGUAGUAGGCGGGGUAACGGCCCACCUAGCCGACGAUGGAUAGGGGUUCUGAGAGGAAGGUCCCCCACAUUGGAACUGAGACACGGUCCAAACUCCUACGGGAGGCAGCAGUGAGGAAUAUUGGUCAAUGGACGAGAGUCUGAACCAGCCAAGUAGCGUGAAGGAUGAAGGUCCUACGGAUUGUAAACUUCUUUUAUAAGGGAAUAAACCCUCCCACGUGUGGGAGCUUGUAUGUACCUUAUGAAUAAGCAUCGGCUAACUCCGUGCCAGCAGCCGCGGUAAUACGGAGGAUGCGAGCGUUAUCCGGAUUUAUUGGGUUUAAAGGGAGCGCAGACGGGUCGUUAAGUCAGCUGUGAAAGUUUGGGGCUCAACCUUAAAAUUGCAGUUGAUACUGGCGUCCUUGAGUGCGGUUGAGGUGUGCGGAAUUCGUGGUGUAGCGGUGAAAUGCUUAGAUAUCACGAAGAACUCCGAUUGCGAAGGCAGCACACUAAUCCGUAACUGACGUUCAUGCUCGAAAGUGUGGGUAUCAAACAGGAUUAGAUACCCUGGUAGUCCACACGGUAAACGAUGGAUACUCGCUGUUGGCGAUAUACUGUCAGCGGCCAAGCGAAAGCAUUAAGUAUCCCACCUGGGGAGUACGCCGGCAACGGUGAAACUCAAAGGAAUUGACGGGGGCCCGCACAAGCGGAGGAACAUGU